UGGGCCUUGUGGAGAAAGACUCAACAAAGAAAGGAAAAGAAAAAAAAUCUAGAGAGAGAGAGAGAGCUAAAACAUCCAUGGAAUUUGAAGAUGAAAUUGAAGAAGAAGCAUGGGAAAUUGAAAGACUUGGAGUUGAAUUCAAGAGAUUGACUCAAGGUCAAGACGAGGACAAUGCCCAACUACUACUAGAAGCCCAUCACUGUCAAGACGAGGACAAUGCCCAACCACUACCGGAAGCCCAUCACUGUGAGUAAUAAUAUUGUAAAGAUAUGUUCAUUUAUAUUUAUUUUAAUAUGUAAAUGUUGCGAUGUUCUGGAAUUAUGUUUUAUACGAAUGAAUGAGUUACAAGACCUAUGAUAUGGAAUAUGGAUAUGAAAUGUGAAUUAUUUAUAAUAUGAUAUAUGAUUGAGUCCAAGGCCGUUUUGAUAUAUGAUUGGGCCCAAUGCCGUUUUGAUAUUCGAUUGGGCCUGAAGCCGUUUUGAUAUUCGAUUGGGCCCGAGGCCGUUUUGUUAUAUGGUGGGCCUGAGGCCAUUUUGUAAAUAUGAUUAUGAAUAAUGUUGUGAAUGAUGUAGAUGUGGAAGAGUAUGGUGUUAUGCUUCUUUUGAAUCUAGAUUAUUUACUUGAUUUACUUCACUUUAUUAUUACUCAUUGAGCUUCGCUCACUCCGUAUUUUAUCUGUAUGUAGGUGAUCAAUUUAGAGACCAUCCUUAGGUCAGCCUCAGGAGUUUUUUUUUUUAACCUGCUAAGUCAAGCCACCCAAUAUGCGCCUCUAUGUUGAGGCUCUAACCUUGUAUUGUUAGAAUUUUGUAUUUACUUAAGUUUUAUGUAUAUGCGUGUGAGAUAUAUACACAUGUGUAUACUAGUGUGUUUACAUUAUUUUAAUUAUUUCAAUCAUUAUGUAUGCACAAGCUCAAUGGACAUUACUAUUUGAUUUGCUUCCGCUUUAA